rnacentral:rRNA from 1 species
GGGGGGGGGGGGCGGGGGGGGUGACGGAUGGGGGGGGAGGGAGGCGUGCGGGUAUAGUGGGGGACGGGUGGGUAACGCGUGGGAAUCUGCGCUGGGGUUCGGAAUAACAGUUGGAAACGACUGCUAAUACCGGAUGAUGACGUAAGUCCAAAGAUUUAUCGCCCAAGGAUGAGCCCGCGUAGGAUUAGCUAGUUGGUGAGGUAAAGGCUCACCAAGGCGACGAUCCUUAGCUGGUCUGAGAGGAUGAUCAGCCACACUGGGACUGAGACACGGCCCAGACUCCUACGGGAGGCAGCAGUGGGGAAUAUUGGACAAUGGGCGAAAGCCUGAUCCAGCAAUGCCGCGUGAGUGAUGAAGGCCUUAGGGUUGUAAAGCUCUUUUACCCGGGAUGAUAAUGACAGUACCGGGAGAAUAAGCUCCGGCUAACUCCGUG